CCUACGGGUGGCAGCAGUGAGGAAUAUUGGUCAAUGGACGAGAGUCUGAACCAGCCAAGUAGCGUGAAGGAUGACUGCCCUAUGGGUUGUAAACUUCUUUUAUAUGGGAAUAAAAUGUUCCACGUGUGGGAUUUUGUAUGUACCAUAUGAAUAAGAAUCGGCUAACUCCGUGCCAGCAGCCGCGGUAAUACGGAGGAUCCGAGCGUUAUCCGGAUUUAUUGGGUUUAAAGGGAGCGUAGGUGGAUUGUUAAGUCAGUUGUGAAAGUUUGCGGCUCAACCGUAAAAUUGCAGUUGAAACUGGCAGGCUUGAGUACAGUAGAGGUGGGCGGAAUUCGUGGUGUAGCGGUGAAAUGCUUAGAGAUCACGAAGAACUCCGAUGGCGAAGGCAGCUCACUGGACUGCAACUGACACUGAGGCUCGAAAGUGUGGGUAUCAAACAGGAUUAGAUACCCCUGUAGUC
rnacentral:rRNA from 1 species